UGCAAGAAGCAAGCCCUCUGUUGAAACCGCUGCGGGGACGUCAGGAAACUCCGAGGAAUGGCUGAAAACAGAUUUGUUCCACUGAGAACACAGGGACUUGAGCAAGGCGAGUGAGACCGGGUGUGGGAACCUGGGCGUGUCAACAUUCUCAUUUCUAGCCUUCGUCACCGUGCGGGGCAGGGGACGACAAGAGGACAGACCCCCCACGUGGGACUAUGUCCUUGUGUGGUCUCCUUCCCUACCGUGAAGACAAAGCUAUACUGAUGGCAUCUGGAGAAUGAACAACCAGGAGCCAGGCGCGAAGCUGUUUGCUGGAUACGGAGACACUCCCGUCCUCUGGUAACUAAUGCUGAGUGAACCACACACACACCGGGGAGCUGCAGACAUCUGGGAACUCAGUGGCUCCAGCACUGAAGCGUCCCCAGGGGAACUGCAAGAGACGCGUGGUGUCCUCAGGACGGUACAGGCUGUGUGACUGCAUAUUCCCAGUAGAAACCUACACCUGUAUGUGUAUCACUCAGUCAAGUUCUGCUGGAAUGCCUUCUGUGAGCUGUGAAGAGCAAAACCAGUCCUUGUCCUCAACAAGCUUAUUCUUUAGUGUCUGUGGGCACAAACCUAUUACCUGUAAACAGUCAGAGGACAUAGCCGUGAAACCAUCACCACGAUCCGAUUUUGGAACGUUUGGCAAUCAGUCUCCACCCCACUCACACACCCCUGCGCGCACCCCCAGCCCUAAACAACCACUCACCGAUCGGCUUUCUGUUCCUAUCAAUUUGCCUCCAGAGAUGAAUUCUGUACAUUUCAUAUCCACGAAAUCAGAAACGUGUGGUCUCUUAGGACCGCCUGCUCUCACUUAGCACAACGUUUGCAAGGGUCAUCCGUGUGGCAGCGCGUGCUAGGACUUCAUUUCUACUUCUUGCUGGAUGACGUGCCAUCGUGCGGAUCUGUCACAGUUCGUUUAUCCCCUCGGCACCUGAUGGACAUUGGGUCGUCUUCGCUUCGCGGCUAUUGUAAAUAGUGCCGCUAAAAACAUUCACGUAAUUUGUGUGCGCGUGGAUGACGCUUUCAUUUUCUUGGGCUCACACCUACGAGUGGACUUUCUGGGUCAUGUGGUGGGUAAUGCUAUGAUUAACUUUAACCUGAUGCCCCUUGGUGAUUAUUUAAGAUCCUUCCUGUUAGGAAAAUAA